AACAAAUAAAAUACAAAAGAAUAAAAAAAACAUCUACAUAAAUAAUCUAUUUAAAUCAUAUAUAAAAUUUAUAAUAAAUUAAAUUUAACAAACAAAUCAUUAUGAUAAACAAUUAAAAUAAAAGAAUAAAAAAUAAAAAAGUAAACAAAUACAGGGAGGCCUUAAAUGAAUUUCGAUAUUCAUAGAGGCCUUAAACGAAACGUCUCAAAUUUUUGCAUGUCA
rnacentral:lncRNA from 1 species